CCCGAUUUGGGCCGGCCUUUUUAUCUCUUUGAUGUUUCUCUCCUUCCUCGCGUUUUCCUCAGACUCCACAGGGGAAGGGAACCCGGUGACUGUUUCAACUCCCCUUCCUCGUUCGUGCGGCGGAUCUCCCAUUCAUCUGCUUCUUCCUCUUGGGAUCCUACUCCGGCAAGAGCACCGUUGCCCUUACGGUGUGGCGUGUUAUUCCCCAGGAUAGCACUUCAAUUUUGGUCCAGAUUUGGCUUAGAUCCAGUAGACUGUUGUGCUUCUAUAAAAAGAUUGUUGCUUACAAAAUGGCAAAAUUCAACCUGAACAACAUAGACUUUGAGGCACUGGAUGAUGCUUCAACCAAGAAGAGAAAGAGCGCCUUUAGAUGUUUCUAGAAAGGAAAGGAGUAGUCACAAAUAUAUGCUACAUUGAUGUGUAUUUCCAUUUUAUCUUAUCAACAUAUACCUCAGAAAGCAUGAUGUUGUUUACUUCCUAUGACAAACAGAAUUGUUCCUAGUGUGCACGUGUUCUAAACAAAUGUGUUUUUUUUCUU